rnacentral:rRNA from 1 species
UACGUAGGGAGCAAGCGUUAUCCGGAUUUACUGGGUGUAAAGGGUGCGUAGGCGGCCAGGUAAGUCAGAUGUGAAAUUUAGAGGCUCAACCUCGAAACUGCAUUUGAAACUAUUUGGCUUGAGUGAAGUAGAGGCAGGCGGAAUUCCCUGUGUAGCGGUGAAAUGCGUAGAGAUAGGGAGGAACACCAGUGGCGAAGGCGGCCUGCUGGGCGUUAACUGACGCUGAGGCACGAAAGCGUGGGUAG